AGUAACAUGGGCCCAUCACGCCUUGAUGGAAGGAAAACGAACUGAUACUAUCCAAGCAUUAUCCCUAACAAUCUUACUAGGCCUAUACUUUACAGCCCUACAAGCCAGCGAAUAUCACGAAACAUCCUUCACUAUCUCAGACAGCGUCUAUGGCGCAACUUUCUUUGUAGCCACCGGCUUCCACGGCCUACAUGUAAUUAUUGGAUCCCUAUUUCUCACUACCUGCCUCAUUCGACAAUCCUUAUUUCAUUUUACAACAAACCAUCACUUCGGAUUUGAAGCAGCCGCUUGAUACUGACAUUUUGUAGACGUUGUAUGAUUAUUCCUGUAUGUAUCAAUCUACUGAUGAGGCUCUU